GAUGAACGCUAGCGGCAGGCCUAACACAUGCAAGUCGAGGGGUAGAACACUUCGGUGUUUGAGACCGGCGCACGGGUGCGUAACGCGUAUGCAAUCUACCUUGUACAGGGGAAUAGCCCAGAGAAAUUUGGAUUAAUGCCCCAUAGUAUAUAACCUUCGCAUGUUGGUUAUAUUAAAGUUCCAACGGUACAAGAUGAGCAUGCGUCCCAUUAGUUAGUUGGUAAGGUAACGGCUUACCAAGACGAUGAUGGGUAGGGGUCCUGAGAGGGAGAUCCCCCACACUGGUACUGAGACACGGACCAGACUCCUACGGGAGGCAGCAGUGAGGAGUAUUGGUCAAUGGGCGCAAGCCUGAACCAGCCAUGCCGCGUGCAGGAAGACGGUCCUAUGGAUUGUAAACUGCUCUUAUACAGGAAGAAACCCUCCCACGUGUGGGAGAUUGACGGUACUGUAGGAAUAAGGAUCGGCUAACUCCGUGCCAGCAGCCGCCGCAG
rnacentral:rRNA from 1 species